rnacentral:rRNA from 1 species
UACGGAGGGUGCAAGCGUUAUCCAGAUUCACUGGGUUUAAAGGGUGCGUAGGUGGGCAGGUAAGUCAGUGGUGAAAUCUCCGGGCUUAACCCGGAACUGCCGUUGAUACUACCUGUCUUGAAUAUAGUGGAGGUGAGCGGAAUAUGUCAUGUAGCGGUGAAAUGCUUAGAUAUGACAUAGAACACCCAUUGCGAAGGCAGCUCGCUACACUAUUAUUGACACUGAGGCACGAAAGCGUGGGGAUCAAACAGG